CGGCGAAUUAUUGAAAGGAAUAGAAGAGGGACGAGAAGACUUGCCACGAUUAUCUGAACGUGGGACGACUGGCUGCACCCAAGUCUAAGGGGGGCUGAGAUGGACAACAGCCUCAGCAACUGGGACCUUCUCCUGUUCUCCUGGUUUGACACCUGUGGAGCUGCCUGGACCAUGCCAAGGCUGUAAGGCAGAUGUGCACGGCUGCUGAGCAGACUGGGAGGCCUGGGAGUGGGCAGGCACACAAGCUUGUUCCUUUUAGAUGAAGAUGGACACGAGGCAGCUCAGAUGUGCAGAGCCAUCCCUUGCCAGCGAAGACUUUGUCCUUCCUCAAUGUCUGGG